rnacentral:misc_RNA from 1 species
AAAGAAUCUGGGAGAAGAUAAUUUACAGCAGAAUUGAAACUACAAUAGUAAGAAAACAGAAAUGCGACCAAAAGGACUGAUAAUCAAAUAUUAAUGGAUAAUAUCCAAGGAACAAUUUAAUUUGAGAAUUCUUAGCAGGUUGUACUGCAAUGAAAUGAAAGACAAAAUACAAAUAGAUAUUCCCUGUUCCCACAGACUAGCUGCCAAACACUAAGUAAUUCCCCCCAAGCAUAUAGCUGGAAAAAUCAGCAGA